GGCCAGGUGGCGGAGUGGUUAACGCGGUAGACUCGAAUACUUCGUUCGAGGCCAUCUACUUCCUUCGGGAGCGUCUGUUCGAAUCAGGCCCUGGUCG